UAAGAACUAACAGGAUUCCCCUAGUAGCGGCGAGCGAAGCGGGAAGAGCUCAAAUUUAUAAUCUGGCACCUUCGGUGUCCGAGUUGUAAUCUCUAGAAGUGUUUUCCGCGUUGGACCGCACACAAGUCUGUUGGAAUACAGCGGCAUAGUGGUGAAACCCCCGUAUAUGGUGCGGACGCCCAGCGCUUUGUGAUACACUUUCAAUGAGUCGAGUUGUUUGGGAAUGCAGCUCAAAUUGGGUGGUAAAUUCCAUCUAAAGCUAAAUAUUGGCGAGAGACCGAUAGCGAACAAGUACCGUGAGGGAAAGAUGAAAAGCACUUUGGAAAGAGAGUUAACAGUACGUGAAAUUGUUGGAAGGGAAACGCUUGAAGUCAGACUUGCUUGCCGGAGCUUGCUUCGGUUUGCAGGCCAGCAUCAGUUUUCCGGGGUGGAUAAUGACGGUUUGAAGGUAGCAGUCUCGGCUGUGUUAUAGCUUUCCGUUGGAUACGCCCUGGGGGACUGAGGAACGCAGCGUGCUUUUUGCGAAAGACUCGUCUUUUUCACGCUUAGGAUGCUGGUGGAAUGGCUUUAAACGACCCGUCUUGAAACACGGACCAAGGAGUCUAACAUGCUCGCGAGUAUUU
rnacentral:rRNA from 1 species